rnacentral:lncRNA from 1 species
GGUAUCUAUAUCCGUAUUCCGUGGAUUCCACUAUUUGUUGAUAUAGAUAAGUGAUAACAAUAAAAAUUGAUAGUGAAUAGUGAUCCGGUGAUUGGAUAACGGAUAUAAUAUUAUUAUUAUUCUACUGGUUAGUACUUAUAUCUUAGUUCGUGUCAGUUUUCGCAAGUGUUUUGGUUUUUGGCUUUUACUCUGCUGGAAAUUGACACAACUGAUUGAUUCAUUAGUUGGAAUACAAAAUAUUUUAAAUACAUUUGGUGAACCAUGGUCAACAAAUGUGGAGUAAAGGGUUGUAAGACAACUGCUAUCAAAGGGUCAAAAGUGUGUGUGUUUCCUAAAGCUGGUAUUUGCCGUUUAUGGGUAAAUGCUGUGCAACAAUAUCAACUAAAUUUUUUUCCAAGUCAACAGUCAAUUAUAAUAUGUAAAUCUGUACAGUCUGUAGUUUCUGUUGAAGAAAUUGAAGUUAUUAUGGACGGUGUAUUAUCUGAGAAUUCUGGAUCAUUCUUAUUUCCAUCAGUGAAGUCUGAAGUUUCUGACGAAGAAAUUGAAGUCAUUAUAGAUUAUGUAUUAUGUUUUCAAAAAUCUUCAUCAGUGUUAUUCGAUGAAUCAGAUAAAGAAAACAAUGUUUCAUUACCAAAAACUCUAACAAAAAAAUCAAAAUGGCUGCAUUUAAUACAGAACACUUUGCUGACCUUAUAAACUCAAGAAUUAUUACGUACCCAUAUAAAGUGGCAGAUCUGGACUCCUUGAAACCAACAAUUCGGAUAAUUUCAUCAAAUUUAAGAAGAAUGAAUAUGGAUUUUCCUCGGAGGAACUUACUACCAUUUCCAGCUGUGAUAUAGAGGAGGUACACUGCAGCCGCAACCUCAAACCCAACUUGGACCAAAAUGAGCGCCAUUCAGGUGGCAGCUCGGAUGACGGAAACAGAAUCUAUUGUCAAGGAGAACGUUGCUGCAAAUGGCCGAUGCAGCGUAUAUUAAUAUUAUUGCAAUUAUAUGGAAUAUGCUCCCAAUUCAUUCAAUGACAAUUGAAUUUAGGGCAGUCAUUUGUGUUGUCCUACAAAUACGCUACUGUGAAUUAUUUUCUUAUGGAAUAACAAUCUAGUAUUAUAUUAUAAUUAUUAUACUAGCAGAUUUUAAUUUUUAAAUAAAAAUAAAAAAAUAAU